rnacentral:lncRNA from 1 species
GCAAGGCUUGUUUGUCCAGAUUCUUCCUGGCACCUCUAUGUCAUCAGACAUGAGGAUAUCCCUUUUCUCUGGGUAGAGGGAGGACUUCUAUGGAACGAGGGUCUUAUGACCUAUUUUAAGGGAAAUUCAGCUAGGUUUUAUGGCCCUUUUCAGAGGAUAAGGGAUGAGGAGAAUUCUUUCUAGAGUCUAUGGCCUGAUUCUGUUUCCUCAAGUGCCAAGGUGCCAUAUUUUGGGGUAGGAUGGCCUGAACCUCAUAAGCUCCCACAGCACCCAAGCAGACCAUGAACCUCAGCACUCUAUAGCAAUUGCAUGUUCAUGGUGGUCCCUCCACUAGACUUCCCUGAGGGCAGAGACCAUAUCAUUUUCAUCUUUGUUUCCUUCAAAUUUAGUACAGCGCCUACAACAAUGCAAAGGCUAGAAGGAAUGAAGGCAGGGACAUGGAAUGGAGAAUUUCCAUUUCACGGAUCCACAUAAACUGAAAAGGAACAAGAGUCGGUGAGACCAAAGAGCACUGAAGGCCAUGAACCACCACCAUUCUCAACCCCUGGGCCAGGCAAGAAAAGCCACGGUUCCUGGAAGGGAUGACGACAGGCUUACUGAAUUAUUUUCAUCCAUGCCCUUUUAAAAUAUGGUUGGUAGAAAUUUGCCAUUUGAGACUAGAAUCCCAUUCGGAAUCAUGUAAGUCUCUUUUGACUCCACGAGGACAUCUUUCACCCAGUUUUGGGAAAUCUGAGGAAUGGAUUCUUCUACAGACUGAUAAAAUAUCACAAGGUCCAAGAGUUUGUGUGAGAAAGAGGACAUCAAGUGAUGGAUGUGAACGUGGUAGACAUACAAUGGAAGGCAAGAAGGUAUCUCAACACAGCAGAACAAGACCCCAUGAGGAGCCCAGAAAAAAAAUAAAGAAGGUUCCUCACUGGUUAGGAAUUCAAAAGCAGUCCUGGCAACCUCAUAGCAUCUUUACCUCAGAAGCAGGCAGCUCUGGUUACUCCACCAUUUUCAGGAACAAGGUUUUUCUCUCCCCCUCUGCUGCAUUUCCUCUGCGGCUCCUGAUCCAUCUGCCUCUACCUUCUUCCUAGCAUCAAAUUUCCUCCCAGGAGACAACAUGAAUGGGUUAAGAAGUACCCAAUGAGGGCUGCUCCAACUGGACAGCAUCUUUGAAACUGGGACCUCACAGAUGGUCAUCACAGGCCCCUGAUGCCUGGGUACCCAGCGACCAACCCCAGUCUAGUCUGUCUAUAGCAACAUAGGUGAAGGGGAGUCUCAGGGGCUGCCUAAAGGGCUCAGAAUGUGGUGAGUACUUAAGACUGCAUGGAUUUUCACUGUUUACAUGAAUAUAGGACAAGUAUUCACAGAACUAUUAGCUAGAUCUGUGAACAAAACAUUAAUAACAUUGUAUGUCCAUGUCUGAACCCCUGAAAUUCCAACAACCACCACCCGCCUACCAACUUGCAGCAAACCGGCUCUCUCCACAGUCUUCCCCAGAUCAGGGAGAAACAAUUCCAUCCUUCCAGUACUCAGACUGUAAAACUGGAUUCAUUCUGAUUCCUCUCUCACACAUCCCACACCUGAUCUGACAGGAAAUCCUAUAAACUCUGCCAUUAAAAUAUAUCCAGAAACAGGCCAGGCACAAUGGCUCAUGCCUCUAAUCCCAGCACUUUGGGAGGUCGAGGCGGGCGGAUCAUGAGGUCAGGAGUUCGAGACCAGCUUGGCCUACAUGGCAAAACCCUGUCUCUACUAAAAAUACAAAAAUUAGCUAGGUGUGGUGAUGCACACCUGUAAUCCCAGCUACUUGGGAGGCUGAGCUAGGAGAAUCACUUGAACCCGGGAGGCACAGGCUGCAGUAAGCCAAGAUCGUGCCACUGCACUCCAGCCUGGGCGACAGAGUAAGACUCUGUCUCAAAAAAAAAAAAUAUAUAUAUAUAUAUAUAUAUGUCCAGUAAUGUGCAACUUUCACAGUCUCCACCAGGAUCAUCACAGUCUAACCACUGCUUCCUCCAGCCUGAACUUACUGCAAGAGGCCACUCACUGGUCUCCAGGCAUCCACUCUUGCUUCCCCCACGCACCCCACCACCAGUGUCUAUUCUCAACAGAGCAGCCAAAAUUGUCCUUUUAAACAUUGGUUGGAUUGUGUCUUCUGUCUGUUCAAAACUCUCCAGUAUGUCCACAUGGAUCUCAAAAUAAAACCAAAGUUCUGGCCAGGCACAGUGGUUCGUGUCUGUAAUCCCAGCACUUUGGGAGGCUGAGAAGGGAGGGUGGCUGGAGCCCAGGAAUUCAAGACCAGCCUGGGCAACAUGGCAAAACCCCAUCUCUCCAAAAAAUACAGAAAUUUGCUAGGCGAGGUGAUGUGUGUUUGUAGUCCCACCUACUCAGGAGGCUGAGGUGGAAGGAUCACUUGAACCCAGGAGGUUGAGGCUGCAAUGAGCUGUGAUCACGUCACUGCACUCCAGCCUGGGUGACAGAAUGAGACUCUGCCAAAAAAAAAAAUUCAAAGUUCUUACCACAGCCUACAAGACCUGCCAUGACCUGGUCCUUCCUACCACCUGUCUCAUCUUUGCACUCUCACUCACUCUGUACCAACCACACUGGCCUCCUGGAUGUUUCUGGAACAUACCAAACAUGCUCUAAUCACCAGUCUUUGCACUGGAUUUUUCUUCAUUCUGGGAUGUUCUUCCCUUGGAACUCCACAGGGCUAACCCCCACAGUUCCUGCACAUCUAUCAAUGAUGUUUAACAAACCACCCCACUUCGCCUCUGCAGUAUUCCCAAUCGCCACACCUGCCCUGUGUGGUAUUUUAUCACAUACCAUGUAAUUAACUUAUUUGCUAUCUUUAGGAAAAGGGUUUUUUUUUAAAUUUUUUGUUUGCAUGUUUUGUUUUCUUUUUGCUUUUGGUAUCUCUUCCCCUGGUAGAAUGAAAGCUCCGUGAGAAAACCUAGACGAAUCUCUGAAACUUAAUGCUCAAUAAAUGUUUGUUGGUGAAUGCCUGAUUUACAGGACAGCUGAAGCAGUUUAUUAAUUUAGAAGAGCUUAUUAAUUUAGAAGUUAUCAACUAUUGUAAAACUUCCACUGCAGUUUGAAGUUUGAUGUGAUGGGUUGAAAAAAACCACAAUUAGCAAAGUGCACUCUCCUUUUUUUCUAUUUAUCUUCUAAUCACCAGUCUGCUCUGAUGCUGAUUGACACACAGAUACUGAUGUGUUGUUUCCCAUAAAUUCACAAGCCAGUGAGUCAGUCCUUCAGGUAAUAAACAGAUGGCUGUCGGCCAGGUGAGAUGAAAAGGCAUGGUUGCCAUCCUCGAGGAAUUUACGUGUAGCAUGCGUGAUUUAUUGCACUAAGGUAUAAAUAUAAGGUAUAAGAAAUAUCUUACUGGUUUGUUGUGGUGGUUUCUUGUGAUUUUUUCUGUCUCUAAAUAAAAUUAAAUCUGC